GACGAACGCUGGCGGCGUGCUUAACACAUGCAAGUCGAACGCUGAAGCCCAGCUUGCUGGGUGGAUGAGUGGCGAACGGGUGAGUAACACGUGAGUAACCUGCCCCCUUCUUUGGGAUAACGCCCGGAAACGGGUGCUAAUACUGGAUAUUCACUGAUCUUCGCAUGGGGGUUGGUGGAAAGGUUUUUUCUGGUGGGGGAUGGGCUCGCGGCCUAUCAGCUUGUUGGUGGGGUGAUGGCCUACCAAGGCUUUGACGGGUAGCCGGCCUGAGAGGGUGACCGGUCACAUUGGGACUGAGAUACGGCCCAGACUCCUACGGGAGGCAGCAGUGGGGAAUAUUGCACAAUGGGCGAAAGCCUGAUGCAGCGACGCCGCGUGAGGGAUGACGGCCUUCGGGUUGUAAACCUCUUUCGCUCAUGGUCAAGCCGCAGCUUUGGGUUGUGGUGAGGGUAGUGGGUAAAGAAGCGCCGGCUAACUACGUGCCAGCAGCCGCGGUAAUACGUAGGGCGCGAGCGUUGUCCGGAAUUAUUGGGCGUAAAGGGCUUGUAGGCGGUUGGUCGCGUCUGCCGUGAAAUCCUCUGGCUUAACUGGGGGCGUGCGGUGGGUACGGGCUGACUUGAGUGCGGUAGGGGAGACUGGAACUCCUGGUGUAGCGGUGGAAUGCGCAGAUAUCAGGAAGAACACCGGUGGCGAAGGCGGGUCUCUGGGCCGUUACUGACGCUGAGGAGCGAAAGCGUGGGGAGCGAACAGG
rnacentral:rRNA from 1 species